AUGACUCUAGACAUUUCAUGUGUUCUCUCAAUGACAUAUCUGCAUUUCCUUUUUGAAAAUCAUCUGCAAAUUCUGAAGAAACUAGUGAGAAAUGCCAAAAAUCCCAUCAGUCAAGUCGCAAAGAGACUUUGUGAACAAGAGAGGGCAGAAAGCCACAGAAACAAGGUGUCAAACAAAAGUUGGCAUUUUGUUUCGGAAAAGAAGAGAAAUGGAUGCUUCCUCUUGCACAAUGAAGACUUUGCCUUUGUUAAAGAGAAAAACGUGAUGAUGGCAAUUUGUUAUGUGAUGUCAUUUCCCAAAAAAACAUGGAAAGCUUUUUUACUGUGCCUUGUGACUCCAAGCUUAUUAACGUUGUAUAUAUUAGAAACAUGGAGAGAGUCCAGAAACGUCGCAGGCUUCUUGAUGUUGAUGAAAUUCACCGUAAAGUGGCUUGUCUACCCUUCAAAACAGGAUAUGUACUUAUGCCUUUAUUGCACAGCAUGGAGCGAAAAGACUAAAAAAGGGAUGGCUUGGGUAAGGGCAGUGUGGCAAGAGAAGACAAGGCAAGAGGAAGGGACGGUGCCGGACAGCUGGGUGGACCCAAAGAACAUGUUAUUGUACUGGCCAAAUGUUGCAAAUGCAACAAGAUAUUUGAAGGAACGACGGCCACCAUCUGAUAGUUGGAGAAAGUUUCCACUUGUGAAAGAGAAGAUGAGAUCUGAUUACUUUAAAGAGUGUGACAACUGUGAACUCACAAGUAGUACAGAAGCUGAAGAAGGUUCACUGGAAGCAAAAAGAAGAAAAAUAUCGAAGAAAUUUGAAGACUGCUUGACAGAUCAUAGUUGUGACACUGAUCCACAAUUCGAAGAAGAAGAUAACCUUGGAAAUCGUCAGCUUCCUAACAGUAAUGAAGAGCUAGAACUUCCUGUUGCUCCAAGGAAGGUGUGCAAGCUCUCCAAUGCAAGCUCUACAUCUUCUGUUUCAUCCAGGGGAUCAAGCUCUGGCUCUCCAUUGCCACUUCAAAAAAAGCAGACUUCAACAGCACAGGCCCCUGUGCAAACUAAGGAGGCCACAUCAAAAAACCAGACCAGACAACAUUCUGAUGGAGAACCGUCUUCACAAGAAAUCAGACAAUCUGGGUCACCUGUUGAUCGACAGUCCAGCAGCUCCAAACAAGAUGAAAAACGCUCCCCAUACCCAAUGCAAGAAGCAAGUAAGUAUAGUUAGGGCUGGGCGAUAAAACGAUAAUGAUAUGUAUCGCGAUAGACAUGUAAUCGAUGUCAAUAAAAAAUGCGUUCGAUAAAACGUUUUCGAUAUUUUUUUUUUCUUCGUCGGAAGAAACAAGAGGUUGCGAAGCAAGUUUGGUUGCAUGAACAAAGGCACUCGCUCUCUGGUAACCUAGCAACGUAGGAAGUGACACGCUACCAGCCAAUCAUGAAACAGUUUGGUUGCGCCAUAUCGUUGUCUCGUGUUGGAUUCUUCAGUAACAGAACCGCCGUGGAGUGAUAAGUGGAAAGCCUUAUUUGUUCGGUGAGUGAUGUAGAUAAGAUGACUGACUGCUGCGCCAAUUCUGACAGGCGCCCGCGCAUGUUACUGAGAGAACAGGCAGAGAGAGAGAGAGAGACCCUCCUCCGGCCUCGCGUGCACACUUGCUCUCCCUCCCUCCCUCCCUCCCUCCCUUACGCAUAUUAAUCAAAAUUGAUAUUACCAUCAAAAUCAAUUGAGAAUUGACACGAUGAUUGGUCGGAAGACCGAAGUUUCACAUUAAGCAAUCAGAGAUCCUGAAUUACCGCUGGGUGAGAAUUGUACUAAAAAUAACGUGCCUUAUCUUCUCUGAAAAGCGUUCAGCACAUUCAAACAAAAACCUAUCCAGUGAUGAAAUGUUUUCUGUGUUGACACAAAUCUUGUGCGAUGUCCUAACUACCGGAUAAUCACACGUGCUGUCUGCGCCUUAUGUUUUCCAGCUUUUUUGUCCAAUCACACCUAUGAAUCAGAGGAAGGUUAAAGGAUUAAUUCACCCCAAAAAUGAAAAUUUCCUAAUCAUUUACGCACUUUUCAAUGCCAUCCAAGAUAUCCAUGUCUUUCUUUCUUCAGUGGAAAAAGAAAUUAAGUUUUUUUGAGGAAAACAUUUCAGGAUUUUUUUCUUCAUAUAAUGGACUUCAAUGGCAACCAACUCAGUUGCUAUUGUUUCCACAAAAAACUUAAUUUCUUUUCCACUGAAGAAAGAAAGACAUGGAUAUCUUGGAUGGCAUUGAAAAUGCGAAAUGAUUAGGAAAAUUUUCAUUUUUGAUGGCAUUGGGGUGAGUAAAUUAUUAGGACAUUUUUCAUUUUUGAGGUGAACUAAUCCUUUAAGUUUAAAAUAAAAAUGUUUAAAUGUAAUAUAUUUUUCUCCUGGUCCUUAUUUUAAAUAGGUCAUAAAAAUAUCAAUAAUUAUCGAUAUCGACCGAUAUGAAACACUUAUAUCGUGAUACAGUUUUCAGCCAUAUCGCCCAGCCCUAGUAUUGUAUAUUUACUUAAGGGCAUGUUGUCCAUAUGAUAAUGUUAGGGGUACAAUUUAAUUUUCAGUAAUCACAUUAUAGUUACUCUUCUGACAAGAGUCUCCUUACUUGCAUUACACAAGUGUACGAUUAUGAUCCAUUUCAAAAUUAAAAUCAGUCAAGGACAGUUUGAUCAAAUACAUGCUCAGUUUAUGCCGGCUAGUAUACAGGCAUGGUGCUGCACUUAUGUUUUUCUGCUGCUCGACAGAAAUGUUGUUGGUAAUUUUUGGCCCUUUGAAAUAUUUUUUAUUUUUUUCCCAAAUUGUUGGAUUACUGGUUAUAAUUUUAUGGACUCCUAAAUAAUGGUUUUAUUAAUCAAAAAGCAGCCCUAAUAAAUUCAGCCCUAAAAAAUCCUGAAACUUUAUUAUCAAACAUAGAAAUUAACAUCAAUUUAUUAAAAGUUUAAUAAAUAUUUUUAGGGGCCUACAAAAUGUUUUUUUCUUCCGUUCUGUUUUAAGGAUUUCAAUGAUUAUUUGACAAUCAAUUAAUUGAAUAUAAUUAAUUACCAUAACUCCUUCGAAAACAGCCAGAAACCUUGGAGUUAUGAUUGAUGAUCAGCUAACUUUCUCAGAUCACAUUGCUAAAACUGUCCGGUCCUGCAGAUUUGCUUUAUUCAACAUUAAGAAGAUCAGGCCCUUUCUUUCAGAACAUGCUGCACAACUCCUUGUUCAAGCUCUUGUUCUGUCCAGGCUGGACUAUUGCAACGCUCUCUUGGCAGGUCUUCCAGCCAGUUCUAUCAAACCUUUACAAUUAAUCCAGAACGCGGCAGCAAUAUUAAUUUUUAAUGAGCCAAAAAGAAUACACAUCACACCUCUGUUUAUCAAUUUGCACUGGCUACCAAUAGCUGCUCGCAUAAAAUUCAAGGCAUUGAUGUUUACAUACAAAACCACCACUGGCUCUGCACCCCUUUACCUAAAUUCAUUACUUCAGACUUAUGUGCCUCUAGAAGCUUGCGUUCUGCAAGUGAACAUCGCUUGAUUGUGCCAUCCCAAAGAAGCACAAAGUCACUUUUACGGACUUUAAAUUAAAUGUUCCCUCCUGGUGGAGUGACCUGCCCAACUCAAUCCCAGCAGCUGAGUCCUUAGCCAUCUUCAAGAAUCGGCUAAAAACACAUCUCUUCCAUCUUUAUUUGACCCUCUAACUUUUGCACUCACUAUUCUAAUUCUAUUUAAAAAAAAAAAAAUAAAUAACUUACUACCUUUCUAAUCUUUUUGUAUUCUAUCUAUUUUCUUUUCAUUUAUUAUACAAUUAUAAAAAAGACCUCUAACAUUAGCUUGCUCUAUUCUUUUUCUAUUCUAUCUGUUUUCUUUUUUUAUUUAUUAUAUUAUUUAAAAGCCCUUGCUAUGUAUACUGCGUUUAAGCUAACUGAGACUUGUUAUAGCACUUAUAUAUCAUUGCUCUUUUGUUGUUUUUGAUUGCUUCCAUUGUCCUCAUUUGUAAGUCGCUUUGGAUAAAAGCAUCUGCUAAAUGAUUAAAUGUAAAUGUAAAUGUAAAUAUAAUCUUUUCAUCAAUAGACCUUAUUCGAUUAAGCACGGUCAUCAUAACAUGCAUAAUUUAAGACACAUGUGCAGCUUACACCAAAACACAUAUGGCUGAUGCGAGAAAAAAAUGAAGAGAGCAUGCAAAAAUUUUGUUUGUGAUCGUGUUAUUUCAAAAGGAUAUCAUGUUAAUUUCAAACAUUGUGUGUAUUAAAAUAUGAUACAACAACAACAAGCACCAUGAUCAAUCAUUUGGAUCAAGUGCAUCCAUCGUUCUCUGGGACAGGAUUUAAAUCAACACAACAGAUCACAAGUGGUCAUCGCUAAAUACAGGUGAAAACAAGGUUUUCAGCUUAAUGUUUCAUUAUCCACAUCACAGAUUUCAUAGGGCCCUAGUCGAUACCACUUAAUUAGUUGUUUCCAUCAUGGCUCCUGAGAAUUUCAACUCUUAAAAUAGCCAAGCUGAAAUAGACACUUUUGGUGCUUUUCCACUGCAUGGUACGGUUCACUUUUGGGGGGUUUUCCACUGGGUACAGUACCUGUUACCUGCUACUUUUUUAAGUACCACCUUGGCUGAGGUUCCAAGCGAACCGUACCAUUACCAAAACAUGACGUGUAAACUCUGCUGAUCACUGAUUGGCCGGAGAAAAUCGUCAGCCAUUGAACUUGCGACACGAGUCACAUACCCGCUAGAUUUAAAUCUGCACAGCCAGCGAAGGAUAGAACGCAAAUGUUUUGAAUGAGCACACCUUUUUUAAACAACCAAAAAAUGGCUAUUUCAUGGUCUGGUGAGGAAGUACUGACUGUCAUCUCUUUGAUAACAGAGGAGCGGAUCCACCUAGAGGUUGAUAGAGCAACGCGGAAUGAAAAAGUUUUUCAGGAGUCAGGGUAGUAGAGGCGGCGCCAUUUGUUUUGUUUUGGGGGAAAUCUCCUUCACCUCACUCCCCAAUAUGCACACAUGCCAGCUGUAUGAGGCACUAAUUCUGUUGUUCGUAGGCUUAUCUGCUGAAUGCUUAGAUUUGUUCACUGAGUAUGGAAUAAAAUUAUCAUAGUAAACUAACCUCACUAGGCCAUCAGCACAGACACUUAUGUGAUAUUAU
ensembl:lncRNA